CCCCGCCUCCCUGCCGUCGCGCGGUACCCCGGGCGCUUGCUCCUGGUGCCGACGCGGCGGCCGGGUGACGUACCUGUCUGGGUACACACCUUGGCCUUGUACUGGACGGGGGGACUACCCUACCUGGUACACACCGGUACGCUACACUACCCGCACUACACCGUCUUCGGUACCCACACACGUUGGGGGGACCCCUUUCGGGCCUCACUUGCCACUCACGUACUGUCGCCCACGUACUGGGACUUACGCUACGUACGGUGGGGUACCCGGGCUCCCUCG
rnacentral:rRNA from 1 species